GACAGAGGAUGCAAGCGUUAUCCGGAAUGAUUGGGCGUAAAGCGUCUGUAGGUGGCUUUUAAGUCCGCCGUCAAAUCCCAGGGCUCAACCCUGGACAGGCGGUGGAAACUACCAAGCUGGAGUACGGUAGGGGCAGAGGGAAUUUCCGGUGGAGCGGUGGAAAUGCGCAGAUAUCAGGAGGAACACCGGUGGCGAAGGCGGGUCUCUGGGCCGAUACUGACGCUGAG
rnacentral:rRNA from 1 species